CGACCCCUCGAGCGCCCUCGCGCGCGCUCGGUGUUGGGGCCCUACGUGCGUCGUAGGCCCUGAAUUCCAGUGGCGGGCUCGCCGUGUUCCCGAGCGUAGUAAUGCUACCUCGCUCAGGGGCGCGCGGCGGGCGCCGGCCGUGAAACGACGAAACACAACCCCAA
rnacentral:misc_RNA from 1 species